AUCGCUUCUCUGCCUUUUGGCUAAGAUCAAGUGUCAUAUCUGUUCUUAUCAGUUUAAUAUCUGAUACAUCAUUUAACCAAGGACAAUAUACAGAGUUUGGCCAGAGAGGGAAAAUCCAGGCAGAUUGGUGAAUGAGACAGAUCUGAGCACUUGUUGGUAGCCAUAGCUGUAAGUGGCUGCGGUGGCAAAUGUGGC